rnacentral:tRNA from 3 species
AGCCCGGUGGUGUAGUGGACUAGCAAGGGUUCACCCCGGCCAAUGACGGGCUUUGGACCCGUCGACGGGAGUUCGAAUCUCCCCCGGGCUACCA